GUACCUGCACUAAAUAAUUAUAUUUACAUGUACCUGCACUAAAUAAUUAUAUUUACAUGUACCUGCACUAAAUAAUUAUAUUUACAUGUACCUGCACUAAAUAAUUAUAUUUACAUGUACCUGCACUAAAUAAUUAUAUUUACAUGUACCUGCACUAAAUAAUUAUAUUUACAUGCACCUGCACUAAAUAAUUAUAUUUACAUGUACCUGCACUAAAUAAUUAUAUUUACAUGUACCUGCACUAAUUAAUUAUAUUUACAUGUACCUGCACUAAAUAAUUAUAUUUACAUGUACCUGCACUAAAUAAUUAUAUUUACAUGCACCUGCACUAAAUAAUUAUAUUUACAUGUACCUGCACUGAAUAAUUAUAUUUACAUGUACCUACACUAAAUAAUUAUAUUUACAUGUACCUGCACUAAUUAAUUAUAUUUACAUGUACCUGCACUAAAUAAUUAUAUUUACAAAACUCCUAUGUUUUCGCAGGAGGAUGAUGAUAUAUCAACGGAGCAAAAUCAUCAGUCUAGUGCAGCAGGGUUGUCUCAAGGUGAAUCAGCGGCGUUGGCACUUGAACUGGCAAAAAUCAAUCUUGAGCAGACUAGGGAACAGAGAGCAUUUGCAAAAGAAGAAUUUGAUAGGGAAAAAGAAAGAAGGCAGUUUUCGCAUCUUGUAAAUGAUUUUAGUUUACAGAAAGCAGUACAGCUUGUUUCCCACUUCAAUGAGGCUGAACCAGAAAAAUUUUUCGAAAGCUUCGAAAAUCAGGCUCGAGCCUUGAGGUGGCCGGAACAGCAUUGGGCAUCGUUGGUUCACACAGCAUUGUUUGGUAAGGCACAGGAAUUUACGUCAGUGUUAAAUGACACUGAUUUUUCCGAUUAUAAAGUAGUGAAGACCAGUGUUGGGAGCAUAUACAGUGGACCCCCGCUUAACGAUCACCUCCCUAUGUGACCAAUUAUGUAAGUGUGUUUAUGUAAAUGCAUUUGUACGUGUAUGUUUGGGGGUCUGAAAUGGACUAAUCUACUUCACAAUAUUCCUUAUGGGAACAAAUUCGGUCAGUACUGGCACCUGAACAUACUUCUGGAAUGAAAAAAUAUCGUUAACCGGGGGUCCACUGUACUUGUAUCCCAACUAAGUAUCAGAAACAGUUUAAAUUAGGCAGACGACAGCUUGGUCAAUCCCUGGUUGAUUUUGUGCGACAGCAGACCAAAGCUUUUACCAGCUGGUAUAAAGUAAGUGGUGUUGCUACCUUCGAUGAUCUUGUGCAGCUUAUUCUGAUUGACACCCUGCUGGAGUCUGUGGGACCAGAGGUUCGAGUCUUUCUGCAGGAUCAUGACUUAACCACUGCUUUGGAGGCAGCCAGGCUGGCUGAUACCUUUGAAAUUAACCGCUCCUUGUCCGAGCGGUCUCAUCUCUCUUUUCAACAACCUGGCAUGAGAAGAGAUCGUCAACCUUGGAGGAUGAAGUGCCAGCCGGAGGGAGAACGUCUACGUCAGCCAACUAAGUCUCCUGGUGAGCCACGCUUUUCAACUUACGGUCCACCUGGUGAGAGACAAACUACUCAACAUGGUGCAACUCGACAACAGUAUCCAGAAAGACACCAGCCAGAGUGGCACCAGUUGCAACGUCAGCAGGGAGUUAAAGGCAAACCUGUCGUCUGCUACCUAUGUAAUAAAGUAGGUCACAUCCGUCCCAACUGCCCCCAUAAACCCCAACCUAUUGGGAAAAUCUCUAAUAUCCCUAGUAACAUGUCCCCGAGAGAAGUAGAAAAAGGGAUGGCCCCUUAUUACUGUAAGAGUCUUAUUUCCCUUCAGGAAAACUCCAAAACAACUGAAGUCUCCUUUAGAGAUACUGAAGCGUAUUGCUCAUUUAUAAGAGAAGGAAUAUUACCCCUUUCAAAGAAUACCUUCUUAAAUUCCUGUUUUGCUGGAAGCAUUUGGAGGAGCUAUAUAUUCUGUCCCUUUGCAUAAAAUUUAUGUACAGUGCAAAUAUUACACUGGGUACUUGACUGUGGGUGUAUCCGAAGGAUUCCCCAUGAAAGAUGCCAUGUUAUUACUGGGUAAUAACAUUACCACGGCUAUUGUAUGUCCUGAACCCAUAAUGAUUAAUUCUUCUCCGGUGUUGGCCAUAACUCGGGCAACAUCCCAAGGGAAGUCUGGCGAGAAUGUUGACCUAUCCUUGGACGGCUCCGAUCUCGGAAUAGCCACGUUGUUUUGCGAGGAAAACCGGCCGGGGCCUCGUAGAUCAAGUGAACAGACCCAGAUCAAGCCUUCCUAUUCCAGAUAUCUCUAUUUCCAUGCCCGAGGAACUGUCCUUCCGGGAGAAACAACAAAAGGACCCUUCUUUAAAUUUCGCUUUUCAGGCAGCCAUGGGUAAAUCCUCUUUGGAUCAUCCGGUCAAGUAUAAACUUAAAAACGACUAUUUGAUCUGCACUGAGACUGGUAAGGAGAUAGAGGGCCGGCAAUUGUCAGACAGGUUAGUAGUUCCAACAAAGUUUAGACCUCAAAUAUUGAAUAUUGCUCAUAAUACUUCAUUAGGAGGUCACUUAGGAAUUACUAAAACAUUAUAUAGAAUUACAAAAGAAUUUUAUUGGUCAAAAUUAAAGCAGGAUGUGAAGAAUACCAUCCGGUGUUGCCGAGAAUGUCAGUGAGUAGGGAAACCUGGACAUUCCAUUAAACCUGCACCUCUCCAACCUAUACCUGCUGAUGGAGAACCUUUGGCAGAUUUAAUUAUAGAUUGUGUAGGUCCACUACCUAGGUCAAAGUCGGGAAAUCAGUAUUUAUUUACCAUUAUGGAUAGAGUAACUAGAUACCCUGAAGCAAUUCCCAUGUGCAGUAUUAAUACUAAAUAUUAAUAUUAAUACUUCACUGCCAAAGCAUUUAGGGAAGCAUUAACUAGGUUAGGGAUAAUCCACAACUUAUCCACUGCCUAUCAUCCUCAGUCCCAAGGCGCCUUGGAAAGAUUCCAUCAGACGUUAAAAACCAUGAUAACUUUUUGCGUGCAUUUUCCUACAGACUGGGAUGAAUCACUACUUUUGUUGCUGUUCCCAGUACGAGAAACGGUGCAAGAGUCUACCGGGUAUAGUCUGUUUGAGCUGGUCUUUGGGCACAAAGUACAAGGUCCUCUUCGGGUGCUCAAAGAAGGAUGGAUGGGAGAAGACGUUAGCUCAACAUUCUACAACCCUUCUUCAAGGUUGCAGGUGGCAUGUCAGUUAGCCAAGGCUAACCUAAAGGCAGCUCAAAAUAAGAUGAAACAGAGUUAUGACAGAAAUGCACAAUUCCACCCCUUCCAUCCAGGAGACAAGGUGUUGGUGCAGGAACCUAUACCUGGCCACACCUUGAAAGCUAGAUUUACGGGACCUAUGCAAAUUGUAAGUAAAUUAUCUGAUGUAAAUUAUGUGGUAGCUCCCCUUGAUAAGACCUCAAAAACUAAAACUUACCACAUUAAUCAAUUAAAAUCUUUUCAUACACCAGAUAAAGUUCCAGUAAUGACUCUGUCCUCUUCCUCUGAGGACAACUCUGACUCUUUGCACUCUAUUUCUGAAAUUAAUGUUAAACUUCCAAACUCUGUCUCCUCCUCAAGGACCCUAGCCCUUUAAUGGUGGGGCUAUCUGAAACUCAAGCAACACGUUUAACUGUGCUUCUACAGUCAUACCCUGAUAUUUUUUCGGAUGUGCCGAAAAAAUGUACGUUAGGUUAUCAUGAUGUAGACGUGGGAAACUCUAAACCUAUUAAACUCUCCCCCUACAGAGCUAAUCCUGAAAAGCAGAGGCUACUUCAGCAGGAAGCAGAAUUUCUAUUAGAGCAUGGGUUAGUGGAGGAAUCAUCUAGUCCAUGGGCUUCACCGUGCAUCCUUGUUAAAAAAGCUGAUGGAGGGUUUCGUAUGUGUACAGACUACUGUAAGGUGAAUGAGGUCACAAUCACAGAUGCUUACCCUCUUCCUCGUCUGGAUGAUGUAAUCGACUUUGUGGGUUGAUGCUUGUGAGUCUGGGGUUGGGGCAGUACUAUUGCAAAACGAGGACGAGGAGUUGCAGCCUGUAGCCUACUUCUCGGUCAAGUUCCAGCAGCAUCAGAGGGCUUACUCUACCAUUGAAAAAGAAGCCCUUGCGCUGGUACUGACUUUGGAGCACUUUGAUGUAUACUUGGGACAAACUUCGCAGGUGGUCACUGUCUACAGUGACCACAAUCCUCUAGUAUAUCUCCAAACCAUGAAGAACCACAACACAAGGCUCAUGAGAUGGACGCUGAGACUGCAACCCUACUUUCUGAGAAUUGUACAUAUUGCCGGCAAAGAAAAUAUGUUGGCAGACUCUUCAUCUAGAGUCUAACAAUAUUAUUUAUAAUUAUAUAUUAGGUUAGGAUGUUAGGUUACUUGUGGUAACCCCUUCCAAGCUCUUUUCUUUUAUUCCCUGGUGCGGGGUUUUUUUUUUUAGUGAGGGGAUGCGGGCUACCGUCUGCCUGUGUCUUGGACCUAAGCUAGCCCGACUGUCUGCUGUCUCACUCUGAGUUUAGGGUUUGGCUUUUUGUCACGAGAAAAGCUGAGCUCUAUCUAAGAGUUGGAUGGUUGAGAGGAAAGGCAGUCCCAUUAUUUUGUGCCAUGGCAGCACGGUUACCACCAUUAAUAAACCAGAUGCCAUUAAUAAACCAGUUAUAACAAUAAACCAGACACCAUUAAUAAACAAGUUAUAACAAGCCAGUUAUAAUAAACCAGUUAUAAUUAUAAACCAGUUAUAACAAUAAACCAGUUAUAACAAUAAACCAGACACCAUUAAUAAACCAGUUAUAAUAAACCAGUUAUAACAAUAAACCAGACACUAUUAAUAAACCAGACACCAUUAAUAAACCAAUUAUAACAAUAAACCAGUUAUAAUAAACCAGUUAUAACAAUAAACCAGACACCAUUAUAAACCAGUUAUAACAAUAAACCAGUUAUAAUAAACCAGUUAUAACAAUAAACCAGACACCAUUAAUAAACCAGUUAUAACAAUAAACCAGUUAUAAUAAACCAGUUAUAACAAACCAGACACCAUUAAUAAACCAGUUAUAACAAUAAGCCAGUUAUAACAAUAAACCAGUUACAACAAUAAACCAGUUAUAACAAUAAACCAGUUAUAAUAAAGCAGACACCAUUAAUAAACCAGACACCAUUAAUAAACCAGUUAUAACAAUAAG